rnacentral:misc_RNA from 1 species
GAUGAAGAACGUAGCGAAAUGCGAUAAGUAAUGUGAAUUGCAGAAUUCAGUGAAUCAUCGAAUCUUUGAACGCAUCUUGCGCUCCUUGGUAUUCUGAGGAGCAUGCCUGUUUGAGUGUCAUUAAAUUCUCAACCGCACUGACUUUGAAUUGGUGUGGCUUGGAUUUGGGGGGAAAAUUGUUGUGGGCUUUUUUGUAUAGUCUGCUCCCCUGAAAUUGAUCAGCGGUACCUUUGUGGAACUGUCUACAGGUGUGAUAAUUAUCUACAUCCUAGACAUCUGCUGGAAUGCUGCUUUCUAAACCUUACUUGUAUUGACAAUCUUGACCUCAAAUCAGGUAGGACUACCCGCUGAACUUAAGCAUAUCAAUAAGCGGAGGA